rnacentral:rRNA from 1 species
UCAGCCGUAACACAUGCAAGUCGAGCGGGGUUUUCGAACAAAAAGGCGGACGGGUGAGUAAUGCGUAGGAAGCUGCCCGAUAGAGGGGGAUACCAGUUGGAAACGACUGUUAAUACCGCAUAAUGUCUACGGACCAAAGUGUGGGACCUUGGGGCCACAUGCUACCGGAUGCGCCUACGUGGGAUUAGCUAGUUGGUGAGGUGAUGGCUCACCAAGGCGACGAUCUCUAGCUGGUUUGAGAGGAUGAUCAGCCACACUGGUUGGGGGGACACGGUCCAGACUCCUGCGGGAGGCAGCAGUGGGGAAUAUUGGACA